GUAUAUGCGCUGCCAGGCACUCAGUGAGACUGACCUCUCAGCUUGAACUAAACACAUUUGUGCAGGGGACACAUGCCACAUGCCGCUCUCCAGCCUGCUAGGAGUACUCAUGGCCUUCGUCUUCUCUGGAUCCACUGUGGCCCAGAGAGUCACUCAAGGCCGAACAGCCACAUCCAUGCAAGAGGGGGCAACAGUCACCCUGGACUGUGUAUAUGAAACCAGUUGGAGUGCAUACUACAUUUUUUGGUAUAAGCACCUUCCCAAUGGAGAGAUCGUUUUCCUUAUUCGUCAGGAUUCGUAUAGCCCGAUUGCAAAGAAUGGCCGCUAUUCUACAAACUUACAGAAAGCAGCUAAAUUCAUCACUCUCACCAUUUCAUCCUUACGGCUGGAAGAUUCAGCAAAGUAUUUCUGUGCUCUCUAUGAACACACAGUGUUUGAAGUGAUAGUAAAAGCAGAACAAAAACCCCAGAGCUCAAUAAGAGAGAGCCCUCCUGCUGCAGGGCCCAGCUGAAAUGCACACCUGCAGAUCCCAGACUAGAAAUGGCAGUGCUGUGGGUGCUUAAUCUGUGGUCUGGAUCAGAUGAUUUAAUUCUAAGUAAAACCUCCUUCUAUGUCAUCUGGAAACAGGUGUCCAGAGUAACUUUCCUCUAAUCCAUUCUCAGUCUUAAAUGUUUGACUUGAAAUUGACCAUACAAAUUUUAAGUUGAAAAAACUUGCCUCGCAAUAAUUUAAAGUGGCAGUUUCACUUAAAGAUGCUCACAUCACAAACCUGGGUCUAGUCAUCUGUAAUUAUCAAGAAAGUAAUUUCCUUAGUCUUUUCCUCUUAGACGUUGUGUCAGUUAGGGUAUAAUCAGAGAAGCAGAGCCACCAUGAGUGAUGCAGAAUAAGAGAUUAAGUGUAAGGAUUAAAACUCAUGCAGCUGCUGGGGCUUGGCGAGGAGUCUAU